CUUUUUUUACAAAACAUCGCCUCUUGAUAGUACAUAAGAGGUCUCGCCUGCCCAGUGACAGGAUUCAACGGCCGCGGUACCCUAACCGUGCAAAGGUAGCACAAUCACUUGUUCUCUAAUUAAGGACUAGAAUCAACGGCACCACGAGGGUCUCACUGUCUCCUUUUUCCAAUCAGUGAAACUGAUCUUCCCGUGAAAAAGCGGGAAUAGCCCUAUAAGACGAGAAGACCCCAUGGAGCUUCAAACUCAUCAGUUACCCUACGCAAAUUACACGAUAAUCUAGGGAAAUAUCUGUUGGUUUUGGGUUGGGGCGACCACGGAGUAUAAAAUAACCUCCACAAUGAAAAGAAUAAUAUCCUUAUCUAAGAGUCACUCCUCUAAGAAUUAAUAAAUUAACAUAUAAUGUUCCGAUACUUUGUAUUCGAUCAAUGAACCAAGUUACCCUGGGGAUAACAGCGCCAUCCACUUCAAGAGUUCAUAUCGACAAGUGGGUUUACGACCUCGAUGUUGGAUCAGGGUAUCCCAGUGGUGCAGCCGCUACUAAAGGUUCGUUUGUUCAACGAUUAAAACCCUACGUGAUCUAGUUCCAAA
rnacentral:rRNA from 1 species